UCUCUCUUUUUCCAGUGUAGUGCGUUGAUUUCAUACCAAAGUCAUACUUAACAUUCCACUUAUACUGUCAAACCUCUGAGAAAUAUUACGGAAAACAACAAGGCGCCAAAACGCAGCAAAGUAACAAAAUUAAGCAGUUGUCACGUUAGAGGAGAAGCUGAGUUCCAAAAUAAAGCUGCUACUUUAAUCCAACACUUCCAGAUUUGUUCCACUCGGGAAUUCCACAUUUAUUUCUACAGACACAAGAAGAAGAAGAAGAAAAAAAAAAAAAACUUUGGAGGAAUAAUUCUCGGAAUUCACCAGCCCAAAAGAAUCUGUCUGCCAUUUCUGGAAGGACGCUACACCCUUUCGGUUUGGGAAGAGGCUCAAAAGCUGAUGAUGAUGAUGAUGAUGACUCUAGUUUUUUGACUGUCUUUAGUUUUUCUUAAAUGGUUUAAGGUUUGGGAUCGGGAUUCAUUUUUGUGAAAUACAUAAAAUGUUUAGUAAUUUGAGCAAUUUCUACACAUUUCUGGGAAUCUUAUGCUGUAGCAGAAUUCCAAUGUGAUCAGGCUCAGUUCCACAAUAGUUCCAAUUUGCAUGCUGUGUGGACCAUGUACUUAAGUUUAGAAGUAAUAUUUAGAGACAUUAUAUACAUAAGAUCCCAUUCAAAACUGCAAUUUGUUGAUGUUUUUGCCAGUUAUUUUAUAAUUAACCAUUUAAUCCACAAUAUGUUGGAAAACUGUGAUUCAAAAACAUGCAAUUUCUAAGUAACAGUUAAAAA